UCUGUCAUUGAUAUCUUACACAACUCCAGUCCUGCAGAUGUAGUUUGGAAUUCUGCAGCAUUAUUCGGGUGAGUCCCUUCACAUGUUGCCCUCCAAAAUAACCUGCACGUAGAUCCUGACAGCAGGAGCAACAGAGAAACCUGUGGGGUCAUCAUUCAAGAAGCUAGACUGUGUUGUCCUGAAGUCAAUGUAGAGGGAUGAACUGAAUGAACACCACGUCCAGGGAAAUCUGCCAACUUAAACUGAAACUGGGGAGACAAUCCUUCCAUGGCUAUCAUGCAACCAGACUGACUACUUUGAAAAUUCACUCAAAACAAAACCUUGGUGCCUUGGGCAAUCUGGACAACACCAGAGGUUUCAGCAACACCACAGGUUAGGAGAACAGAAAGAAAUUUCAGAGGGAACAUUUCCUUGUGCUCACUGCCAGCCCUUGAAUUUCUGGGAAGGCAUUCCUAGAAAAAGGGCCUCCAGUCAAGGCAGUGAAUGGCAGCACUGCCUCCAGAAAAAUCAAUUCUGUGUGGUGAGAGCCCAGAGCCUCUGUUCUGGAGGCCUUCCUUCUUUGAAGCCAAAAAAUCAAAUGAAGCUUCAAAACUUCAUCUCAGCUCUAAAUUCUCAUAAAUCUUAUUUAUGCUAUGAAAGGAAACAAAAUGUACUGAAUGGGUAAUCAGCGUGCUGAUGUGUCCUGGAAAUCCUGCCUCUCCGCGUACAAGGAAAAUCCUUUCCCUGUCUCCAGAAGGAUUUUGGUUUCUUGCUUUUUUCAUUGCUCAGGGUGCCCCCAGUUUUGCAAAAGAGAGGAGUAUCAUGUGCUGCCACUUGUUGAAUCAUUGUCAUUUAAAUAUGAAUUGACUGGAAAAUGAGCCCGCUUUAUUUCAAGGGAACAGACAACACCAGGAAAAAGAAAACAGGGAUAAAAAACACACAUUACGAAUACAAUAAAUGAUACACACGCAACACACACAAAAAGGAAAUUGGAGAAUCUGACUCUCCUUGAAAUGUAAACUCUGUACAGAUUUACUCUGAAAAAUGAACAGAUGUUUUUGAGAUUAGUGGAAACUACUGUACGAAACCUCUGCUGGGUACCUAAUAUUUCAGAUUCCACAGCCCAAGAUUUCUUAUAGCCAUCAUUUCAGAGCUCUCCCCUUUCUAGUGGACCAUGAAGCUGAUGAAAAGAUUUGUGAUUUCUGCACCUCUCCAGUUCCUGAUUUUAUAAUUAGCUCUCAGCAUUAUCAGAGAUCGUUCAUCAGCACAAGACCCAGCAACGUGUCUCAUCCUUCUGCAAUGCUGCAUAAUGUUAAUGUCGGCAGUCCUGGAAAACGGACAAUCAAUGAGAUGAAUGGUACUCGUCUUUCCUUUGCAAACUACACACAGUUGAUGUCUUCAUGCAAUACCAAACAUGGUUGCAACUAACACAUGGACCUAGACUGAUUUUUUAGGUUACGCAUAGCGGAUAAAGAAACUGCAGAAUGGAACAUGCACUAUUGUACCUGGCUUCCUUCUUUGUAAACGGCAGCGGGCUGGAAGCCACAGACAUCAACACUUGACUAUUAAAGAGGGCUUAUUAUACAUUUUACCCAUUUCAUGUAAGUCCAAUGCCUGAGAGAGGCUCUUCAGUAUAGAUUUUACAUCUGCUGCUCAGUUCUCAAGUACCCACUCAGGAAUAUGAAAGUACUUGAGGAAUUCUGGGUUUAAAAAGAGAUAUUUUCAAAUAGAGAGUUAUUAUAGUACCUUUUAACUACAAUCUCCAUGUGAAAAGGUUUCAAUUAGAAAAAUAUAUGUUAGAUUGGUGUGCCAAGGGACUUGGGAGAUAGCUUGUUGGGAUGCCUGUACCUUUGCAUUUAUUCAAUUCCCCAUGAUACCAGCAUAAGUAACACUUCUAUAUUCCCAUUUCUAGCCUCAUGGUUUCAGUCAGGCUGCAUACAUUAGAGAAAUAGUAUGUUUUGGUAUACUGGCAGAGGUAAGGUGUUGUCUUAAGCCAUGAUGUGAAACUCUCAUUUCAAAUCUAUGAAAAGUAGUAGAAGACAAUGGUUCUAUCUUCACCACAGUACUGCCUUCAGUGAACUGCAAAAAUUAGUUAAUCUUUCACAGUUUCCACACUUAGCAUCUUUCCAAGCAAUAUAGAACACAUGUUCAUCCAGAGGUGUGU